rnacentral:other from 1 species
AGCUUUUACGUGGUAUCAGUACUUUUCUCUCAUUAAGGGAAAGUGUGAGAAAAGUAGCAAGCAUUAGUAGAAUUAUAAACUUAAAAUAGACAGGUCUGAGGGACUGAACGUGUAUUUUCACUUCACUUCAUCAUCCAAGAAGUUGAAUCACUUGGUGUGUCUAUUUCAUUGCCUUUAAGUGAAAGAGUGGUACCCAAGCAAU